GUGAUUGUUUCAGCAGCACAUAUACUACAAUUUGAACAACACAGAAAACAUUAGUAUGGCCCCUGGAUGAGAAUGACACACAAAUUCAUGAAAUGUUUCCUGUUUUU
ensembl:snRNA U6 U6 spliceosomal RNA